CAAUAGCGUAUAUUUAAGUUGUUGCAGUUAAAACGCUCGUAGUCGGAAUUUGGCAGUUCCGGAUGUGUGCACGUCGUGUGCGCACUUCGCGGGGAUUGCUUUUGUGGUCUUGCGUAGGAUGAGGCACUUUUAUUAGUGAACGUCCUCACGCAACCACUUUUUACUGUGAGAAAAUCAGAGUGCUCAAAGCAGGCAUUUGCCGUGAAUGUAUUAGCAUGGAAUAAUAGAAUAGGACUUGGUUCUAUUUUGUUGGCUUGUUGGGACUGAGUAAUGAUUAAGAGGGACAGUUGGGGGCAUUUGUAUUUCGGUGCUAGAGGUGAAAUUCUUAGAUUACCGAAAGACAAACUGCUGCGAAAGCGUCUGCCAAGGAUGUUUUCAUUGA
rnacentral:rRNA from 1 species